ACGCUCGACACCUACGUGAGGCAGCAGUGGGGGAUAUUGCACAAUGGGGGGAACCCUGAUGCAGCGACGCCGCGUGAGGGAAGAAGGUUUUCGGAUUGUAAACCUCUGUCCUCAGGGAAGAAGAUGACGGUACCUGAGGAGGAAGCCACGGCUAACUACGUGCCAGCAGCCGCGGUAAUCUGAGCGGGCUGGCAAGGC
rnacentral:rRNA from 1 species